UGGCCACCGCCUCAACUAUUGAGGUGUAGUCUACCACCUCAAAUGGUGUCGCGGAUACAGUAUUCCCUGCCGCCACCUCGAACUUCCUCAGACUCGCCGUCCAUCGUGAACUCCAACUAUUUCCCCAUCACCGUCGCCCACACUUUCCUCUGCCUUCAACAUCGUCGGCGUCCCCGUGAAACCCGCCUCACGCUCCGCCAUCGUCCUCGCCCUGCUAGUCGUCUCUAGCCUUCCCGAUGGAGAAGUCGGGAUGCCUCGUUAGGACUCGUACACACAUAGACGAAACUCCUACAAUAGUAGACAUCAUCACGAGGGUGGCUGAUUACACGGAUAUCAUGGUCGCCUAUGCCAAUAGCGCUCGAGCAGCCACCGAGACCGCUGGAGCAUACACCAUGAGUGCAAGAGCAGCCACUGAGAGCACUAGUACUGCCAUUGAGAGUGCGGGAGAAGCCGUUGAAGAUGCGAGGACUUCCGAAGCCGAGAUCACGAAGAUGUUGGAAGGUGAGGAGAGCUCAUUAUGGAGCUGGGCUUUUACUUGUGAACAAGUAGUGCACUUUCUUUAUGUGAUCUAUAUGGUUGAUGCUUGUGAACUUAAUUUCUAUGUUGCUAUGAUGGAGCUGAAAUUUUGCUUCUGAACAACUUAUGAAGCGCCUUUAUGUUAUUUGUAUCAUCGAUGAUUCUGAAUGUAUUUUCUACGAGUCUGUCAAAAUUGGUAUAUGACUUUGCUAUAUGUGAUUGGAUAA